CUUGCUUUCUUUGCUGGCGACCGGCGCACGGGUGAGUAACACGUAUCCAACCUGCCCUUUACUCGGGGAUAGCCUUUCGAAAGAAAGAUUAAUACCCGAUAGCAUAAUGAUUCCGCAUGGUUUCAUUAUUAAAGGAUUCCGGUAAAGGAUGGGGAUGCGUUCCAUUAGGUUGUUGGUGAGGUAACGGCCCACCAAGCCUUCGAUGGAUAGGGGUUCCGAGAGGAAGGUCCCCCACAUUGGAACUGAGACACGGUCCAA
rnacentral:rRNA from 1 species